rnacentral:misc_RNA from 1 species
CUAUCUCAACCUUACAUUUUUGUAAUGAAUUUGUAUUGGAUUGGAACUUGGGCUCCGGCGGGGUUUGAACCGCCGGCCUCAAACGCAGUAGGUUAGCCGAAUUGCGGUUUGACCGGGUGUUGUAGAGUCGCCUCACUCGGGACGCACGUCGGAUUAGCCGAUAACCCAAAAUUGUAUUUGAUUACUCGAAACG